AAAAAGAAAAGAAAAAAAAGAUCCCGCCAAAUUAAUCUUUUAAAUAAUAAUGCAAAAAACUUUAAAAUAAUGAAAAAAGUGGAGGAUCGUGGAAUCAUUAGAAUUGAUAAGAUGGUUAAAACCCAGCAACAGAACCACAGGAUUCUACAAUUCAAUUUUCCUAUUAGAAUUGGAUCGUAGAAUAGAACUAUAUAUGAUCAUAACAUCGGGAUCGAGAGAAUAUAACGACCAUGGUUCUACUUUCUUCAAACAUCUACCAAGGGUCUAUAAUUUAACAUCUAAUUUUCAGCAGCUAAUGAUUUUUAUUGGUAUAUUAUAUUAUGUUCAUUUAUCUGAAAUUGAUUGAAGGAAUCAGUAAAGUUGCAGACUGCAUCAAUGGUGGUCAGCAGUCAGAAUUAUGCUAUCACAAUUCCACUAGGUAUUCUUUUACUUUGACUAAUGGUAAUUAUUUUGCAGAGUCUUGAUGCCCUAAUAUACAUUAUAACUAAUACAUCGAAUUUAGGUACAUUCAUUGCAAUAGGAAUGAGUAUUUUUAUUUAUGCCACCAAAAUGAAUUUUCUCUGUUCGAUGAUUUGUCUCAGAGAAUUUUUCUACUUCCUUCAAACAUGAAAACGCUGUUAAAAAUUUAACAUCUAUCUUUCUGCUGCAAUAAAUUCGUAUGAAAUUGAUUGUCUUUUUAAGAAAUUGAGCGGAUAGAUAUAUUGAAGAGCGAACCACUUCUUAUGCUUAUCGUUUGUCCUUUUUUCUUCAAAUUAUGGCUAUUAUUUCUUUUGGCAACUAUAGCUUACUUUUUUCCACCCUUGUUUAUCAUCUUUCUGAGUUUUCAGUUGCCAAUGUAUGGGUGAAUUAUCUUAUUCUGUAGCCUGUAUUGUACAUCGAUGGGAAGAUAUGAUACUUUGAUAGUUAUUAAGGUUAACUAUUGAAACAAUCUGGCGAGUAGCUAAGAUCUUAAGGCAUCUGAUGGGCACCUAACAUUUGACAGGUUCUUUGUUUGCUAACAUAAUAGCAGUUUCUGUUUAGAGAAUAUCGCCCUAAUAUACAAUGUAAAAAAUCCAUCGAAUCUAGGUACAUUCAUUUUAAAAGGAAUGAGUAUUUUUAUGCCACUAGAAUGUAUUUUCUCUGUUUGAUGAUUUGUGAGAUAAUUUUCUACUCCCUUCAAACAUGAAAAGGCCGUUAGGAAUUUAACAUCUAUCUUUCUGCUGCAAUAAAUUCGUAUGAAAUUGAUUGUCUUUUUAAGAAAUUAAGCGGGUAGAUAUAUGGAAGAGCGAACCUCUUUCUUGUGCUUAUCGUUUGUCCUUUUUUCCCCCUCCAAAUUAAGUCCUUUUAUUAUUUCUUUUAGCAACGAUAGCUGUACUUUUUUCCACCCAUGUUUAUGGUGAAUUAUCUUAUUCCAUAGCCUGUAUUGUACCUCGAUGGGAAGAUCUGAUACUUUUAAUAUUUAUUAGGGUUAGCUAACGAAAUGGAUCCAUCUGGCAAGUAGCUAAAAUCUUAAGGCAUCUGAUAGGCUCCUGGCAUUUUACAGGUCCUUUGUUUGAUAAUAUAAUAGCAGUUUCUGUUUAGAGAAUAUCGCCACUUAAGCAGCUUGUCCAGAGGUUGUUGUAAACUUUCUAAAGCUUUGAAACACAAUUUGAAACGUUGUAAUAGGAGAGACUAUAAUGUGUAGCCAUUGUAUCAUCCAUUAUAAGGUAUUUUUUUCCUUAGCUUGUUCCUUUAUAAUGGUUUCUUAGUUAUGUUUUGUUCUAGGGAAUUUUGAUACGGAAGCUUAAGCCCUUCUACACGCUGAACCUGUUUUGUGAUAGGAAGGCAAUCACAUAGGUCAUAUU
rnacentral:lncRNA from 1 species